rnacentral:rRNA from 1 species
AUUGAACGCUGGCGGCAUGCCUUACACAUGCAAGUCGAACGGCAGCACGGGAGCAAUCCUGGUGGCGAGUGGCGAACGGGUGAGUAAAGUAUCGGAACGUGCCCAGUCGUGGGGGAUAACGUAGCGAAAGUUACGCUAAUACCGCAUACGAUCUAAGGAUGAAAGCGGGGGAUCGCAAGACCUCGCGCGAUUGGAGCGGCCGAUAUCAGAUUAGGUAGUUGGGGGGGUAAAGGCUCACCAAGCCGAAGAUCUGUAGCUGGUCUGAGAGGACGACCAGCCACACUGGGACUGAGACACGGCCCAGACUCCUACGGGAGGUAGCAGUGGGGAAUUUUGGACAAUGGGCGCAAGCCUAAUCCAGCCAUGCCGCGUGCAGGAUGAAGGCCUUCGGGUUGUAAACUGCUUUUGUACGGAACGAAAAGGUUUGACUUAAUACGUUGGACUCAUGACGGUACCGUAAGAAUAAGCACCGGCUAACUACGUGCCAGCCGCCGCAGUAA